UAACAGUAAGAAAUUUUGUGGUGUCAAAUAAAUAUCUUUUUUUUCUGUUGGAAAAAAUUUGUGAAAAUUAUAUUUGCAAUUUUGCUGUGACUAAGUUGUCUAACCGCGAAUUACAAGUUGGAAGUUAUUUUUGUCGAAGGAAUUGGGUUCGUAUGUCUCUCAUUCUUCCCAAUAAUUUUUUAUUUAAGGACUUACGCGAAAGAGCCAAGAAAUAGCAUCUCCAGAACAUGAAAUUAUGAAUUUUUGAAUAAUUUGGUGCACCAUGACGAAUGAUUGUAGCUGUAAAUUUUCCUGUUGACCAUAUCGUAUACGCCACCAAGGCACCAAAUGGAAUUCUUUGAUCGUUUCAAAUACCUAACCAUGCCAAUUCUCAUAAUAUGAGAAUUUUUGUUUUUUGAAAGUAAAACGUCAGAAGGACUUUAAGAUUAUCUGGACCCUCAAAUCAUUGACUAUGAAUACUUAUUUGGUUACACAUUUUGUUAAGCAUCCAGAAUCCAGCAAAGACAACAGGCC